UCCUUUAAGCUGUUGGAUGUAAAAGGUA
rnacentral:piRNA from 1 species